GAUGAACGCUAGCUACAGGCUUAACACAUGCAAGUCGAGGGGAAACGAUAUUGGAAGCUUGCUUCCGAUAGGCGUCGACCGGCGCACGGGUGAGUAACGCGUAUCCAACCUGCCCACCACUUGGGGAUAACCUUGCGAAAGUAAGACUAAUACCCAAUGAUAUCUCUAGAAGACAUCUGAAGGAGAUUAAAGAUUUAUCGGUGAUGGAUGGGGAUGCGUCUGAUUAGCUUGUUGGCGGGGUAACGGCCCACCAAGGCGACGAUCAGUAGGGGUUCUGAGAGGAAGGUCCCCCACAUUGGAACUGAGACACGGUCCAAACUCCUACGGGAGGCAGCAGUGAGGAAUAUUGGUCAAUGGACGAGAGUCUGAACCAGCCAAGUAGCGUGCAGGAUGACGGCCCUAUGGGUUGUAAACUGCUUUUAUAAGGGAAUAAAGUGAGCCUCGUGAGGCUUUUUGCAUGUACCUUAUGAAUAAGGACCGGCUAAUUCCGUGCCAGCAGCAGCCGCAG
rnacentral:rRNA from 1 species